rnacentral:sRNA from 1 species
AAGGUAAAGCAUCAUUAAUGAAUGGAGAAGUCUUCUGAAGUGACACCAGUGCCUUAUCCCUAGAGGAAUAUCAGCAUAGAAAGCACAGUCAUGCCAACAGCGACUAGAUAGGGAAAUUUCCAACUUUCUCAAAAUGAUUAAGGAGUGUGACAUGGCUAAAGUUAUCAAGAGUUGACUAUAAAUAGCCUACAAGGCUGGGCGCUGUGGCUCACACCUGUAAUCCUGGCACUUUGGGAGGCCGAGGCGGUGGAUCAUCUGAGGUCAGGAGUUCAAGACCAGCAUGGUCAACAUGGUGAAACCCCAUUUCUACUAAAGAUACAAAAAUUAGCUGGGCGUGGUGGCACGUGCCUGUAACCAUCUACUCAAGAGGCUGAGGCAGGAGAAUUGCUUGAACCCGGAAGGUGGAUAUUGCAGUGACCCAAGAUUGCGCCACUGCACUCCAGCCUGGGCAACAGAGGGAGACUCUGUCUCAAAAAAAAAGAAAAAUAAAUAGCCUACAAAUCAAACUUAAGUAUUGAGAAAAAGAAAUGCUUCCAUCAUUUCUUCAGAAAGUUGAAGUUGUCUCAGAAGCUUCUAGAGAAACUUGUGUAGCUUUGACUGAUUGCCUUAAUCUCUUCACCAAACAAGAAGGG